CGUGUAGGUGGCUAAUUAAGUCAGGUGUGAAAUCCUCCCGCUUAACGGGAGAAGUGCACUUGAAACUGCUUAGCUAGAGUACGGGAGAGGAAGGUGGAAUUCCUGGUGUAGAGGUGAAAUUCAUAGAUAUCGGGAAGAACACCGGUGGCGAAGGCGGCCUUCUGGCCCGAUACUGACGCUGAGACGCGAAAGCGUGGGGAGCAAACAGGAUUAGAUACCCUGGUAGUCCACGCCGUAAACGUUGGGCACUAGGUGUGGGAGGUUUUUAUUCCUUCUUUGCCGAAGCUAACGCAUUAAGUGCCCCGCCUGGGGAGUACGGUCGCAAGGCUAAA
rnacentral:rRNA from 1 species